AUACAUAAUCCCCAAGCGCUACCCGGAAUUACUGGGUGUAAAGGGUUCGUAGGCGGACAAGUAAGUUAGAUAUGAAAGGCCGAGGCUCAACCUCGUGCUUGUGUUUAAAACUGCUUGUCUAGAAUCAGGGAGAGGUAAGUAGAAUUCUAAGUGUAGGGGUGCAAUCCGUAGAUACUUAGAGGAAUACCAAAAGCGAAGGCAACUUACUGGAACUGUAUUGACGCUGAGGGACGAAAGCGUGGGGAGCGAAAAGGAUUAGAAACCCCAGUAGUCC
rnacentral:rRNA from 1 species